AGGAUUUUUAUUAUAAUUUAGUAUUUUUAAUUGCAGAUUAAAAGGUUUUAAAGUCUU
rnacentral:tRNA from 1 species